UCGAUGCUCCUGAAAUUCAUCAUCUGGAGCCCUAGAGACAACACUCUUGUAAUCAAACCCACAUCGCAGGGGAGGCUGCACGCCUUCUCCGCGGUGACCUGCGCCAGCUCGCUUUUCUCCCUCCUCCCGGCCCGAAUCCGAAGCAGCCCUGCGUAUCCUCAACCGCCCACCCAGACCUCUAGAAGCCAGGAAGUAGAGGUGGCCGGAUCUCUUCACAGUUCUGGGGACCCUGCGGGCUGAAAGGCAGACCUGUCCUACGUUUGGCUCUAAAUAAGCACAAUAAAAGGAGUCUGCCUUUGAGUUGGGCACGAAGGCGACAGCACCCGGAGCCCUUCAUGUAUAGGACCCACUUGUCUGCACAGAUCCUUCAUCUCUCCGUGUGAAGUGGGGUGAGGCCGCCUGCCCCUAGGAGCCUGGUACCUUUUAGGAGCUCGCCUCUUUCCAUGGCCUGCAGCCAGGGACAGGCGGCUUGGCGGCAGCCUAAACCUUUCCUGCUGGUCCCGACUAUGCUGACCUCUGCGUUCUGGCAGUUCCCAUGCCCACACUGAGACCUUGGGCUCUGGCUUCACUUUUCCCUUUCAUCCUUUGCCGGACUAAGAUCCCGAAGAUCAACAGUGCCUGGCUCAGGCAGAUGAGCCUUUGGAGGGCCAGGCUCUGACUGGACGGCCGGCGGCAGGCGAUUGUCCUCCUACGGCCACCUGCGGCGGGGGUGGGGGGGAUGGAGGUGGGGACUCCAAUCAGGGAGAAGCUGGUUUGCUAUGGUCUCCCAAAAUGACUUUGGGCAAGACCCUAGGGUGUCUUCUGGUGAAGAAUCCUGACAUUCAAAGGAAGAGCUGCAGGUGGAGGUAGGAUGGUCAGGAGUUCAAGGUCAGCCUCAGCUGCAAAGAGGGUUUGAGGCCAACCAGGGAUAAGACUGAUGUAUGGAAAGAAGGAAGGAAGGAAGGAAGGAAGGAAGGAAGGAAGGAAGGAAGGAAGGAAAGAAGGAAGGAAGGAAGGAAGGAAGGAAGGAAGGAAGGAAGGAAGGAAGGAAGGAAGGAAGGAAGGAAGGAAGCUCCCUCCUCUCCCAUCUCUUUAGGGUGAAUGAAAGCAAGAGGACCCCUCUACUCAUCAACCAGGUCCCGGCCAAGAGCCGCAGGACCCAUCUAAGUCCGAGGUUCAAGUACACCUACAGCCCUUACAAGGCCUGCAGGAACAGCCAUCUGCCCCUGGGGCGGACAAAGUGUGAGUGAGGGGCACAGCCCUCACCGUCAGUGCUAGGGAGGAGCAGUCCAGACUGAAGAGCUGGACUCCAUCAGGAGGGAGCUGAGCAAGAUCAAGGCCCGGGUGGACAGCCUGUUGGAGAGUCUGGAGUCCAUGGAGCAGCAGAGGGAACAGCACACAGGACAGGUGAAGAAUCAAGCAUCGGACCAGGAUAGCCAGGAGGUGGGGACGCUUCCAGGCUCCGCUGUUACUUCUUGGGUGGCUUGUUUCCCCUUACCUUGUUUUUGGAAGGCCCCUGGUGACACCCAUGCAACCUGAAGUAGCCUUUCUGGAACCAGGGCAAGGGGGAAGCACGGUUCAGCCACGCAGCCAGAAAACGUCCCGGUAAUUGUGGGUUUAACGUUUGAGGUCUUUCCCCUGAGUUCUGGGGUGGGCAGGGGAGGGGAGCCCCCCAGUCUGGCAUCCUCAGUCGUGCAGGAGGCACCUGACAGGCCCUAUGAGCCUUCAUGGAUGCAGAUUGCUCUUACUUCCCUCCUUCCCCACGCACUGCUAAACCUGGUGCUGCGGAGCUCUUUUCUGCAGCCACAGUAGUCAAACCCACUUGUGUCCCUACAGUGACACUCAACUGUGAGGUCAUGUGUAUGCCUAACCAGCCCCUUUUGGUUAAACCCACCACCAUGUACCCUACAAAGCCAUAAGCCAUCCUCCAAAACAGGCAGAUAGCUUUUAUCUCGUUUUUAUCUUGACUUUUACUAGUGUAAUACUAACUUCAGAUCUGCUCUAGAAAAAGUCAUGUCAGAAGGGGAAAAAAAAUAAAAGUGUAUUUCUUCCUGGUCA